GUUCCUACGGGGGGCAGCAGUGGGGAAUAUUGCACAAUGGGGGAAACCCUGAUGCAGCGACGCCGCGUGAGUGAAGAAGUAUUUCGGUAUGUAAAGCUCUAUCAGCAGGGAAGAAAAAAGACGGUACCUGACUAAGAAGCCCCGGCUAACUACGUGCCAGCAGCCGCGGUAAUACGUAGGGGGCAAGCGUUAUCCGGAUUUACUGGGUGUAAAGGGAGCGUAGACGGCGCGGCAAGUCUGAAGUGAAAGGCAGGG
rnacentral:rRNA from 1 species